rnacentral:rRNA from 1 species
GACGAACGCUGGCGGCGUGCUUAACACAUGCAAGUCGAACGGAAAGGCCCUGCUUUUGUGGGGUGCUCGAGUGGCGAACGGGUGAGUAACACGUGAGUAACCUGCCCUUGACUUUGGGAUAACUUCAGGAAACUGGGGCUAAUACCGGAUAGGAGCUCCUGCUGCAUGGUGGGGGUUGGAAAGUUUCGGCGGUUGGGGAUGGACUCGCGGCUUAUCAGCUUGUUGGUGGGGUAGUGGCUUACCAAGGCUUUGACGGGUAGCCGGCCUGAGAGGGUGACCGGCCACAUUGGGACUGAGAUACGGCCCAGACUCCUACGGGAGGCAGCAGUGGGGAAUAUUGCACAAUGGGCGGAAGCCUGAUGCAGCAACGCCGCGUGCGGGAUGACGGCUUUCGGGUGGUAAACCGCUUUCGCCUGUGACGAAGCGUGAGUGACGGUAAUGGGUAAAGAAGCACCGGCUAACUACGU